UCUUUCAGAUCUGCUUUGUGAAAAUUGAAAUAAAAAAAAAGGAAACCCUAAACUUCUCUCUCUAUCUCUUCUCCUGUUGCUUAUCAACGCUAGAAAAUGGUUGUUGCUUAUCAACGCUAGAAAAUGGUUCUGUCAUUAUCCUACCAAACUACAUGGGAACAAAAGAUCAGUCAUUAAUGGAGGAACUUAACAUCAUCACCAUUAUCAUCUCUAUAUCCGAUGACUUCAAAAUUUAUUUCAAAGUUGUUGACUUCUCACCGCCGUUUCCUUGAAAUCGCAGAGUCUUUUCUCAAUGAUAUGUCGGCAUCAAAACAUAUAUGAUGUUCUUUUCAAGCCGAUUCUUGGAUGCACAACAUAGCAAUGAUUGUCGCGGCCAGCCGUUGCGAAAAUUGGUUGAAGAACCAUUGCCAGAUUUCACGAAAACUUGGAUCGGGUAAGCAUUAUCGGAUGUUGCAGGAUCUUAUCACAGAUUUAUGAAAAUCAUAGCACCGGUGUUGUUCACCUCUUGGCGGUAAGGCAAGCAACGCUGGAUGAUUGACUCGGGAGCCAUCGAGUUGGAUUUAUUAUAGAGGUAGCAACCCGGCUCUGAAAGUUUCAAUCAAAUUCUGACAAGAUUUUAGGUCGAGUUUGAUAGCCAAGUAUCCAACAUGAUGUCAUGUGAAUCACGGUGUCGUCGCUAUCAUCAGAAGAUAAGUGCAUUCCUUUACUGUAUAGAUUUUUGAUACAACAAGUUAUACUGCAUCUGAUGAAUUUUACUUUCUUCUUGUUUCAAUAAGAUUAUUUAAUAUAAGACGUUUCCAGAUUCAGAAUGUUGAUUUGCUGAAAUAAGUCAUUUAUUCAUUUUUAGUUUCAAAUUAGUCCUUUUUUUCAUGUCAAGGUAGUCCUUUAUUUUAUGGAUCAAGUCUGGGAAAUGCAGGUACGUCUCGUGGCUUCAAAUAGGAUAGGAAGCGAGAUAAUUGAAACUGAGCAUGGAAAAAGUGAGAUAAAGUUUUAUGGAAACUCCUUCAUAACUUUUCUUUCAGCAAACAGGGCCUACCGGAGAAAUUGUUUCAUAUUUUGUGAUGAUAAAGAGGAAGCAGAUCUUAUUGCUGAAUUUGAUUUGGACAAAAUCAAAUCCACGAGGCAUUGUUGGGGGGUAUUCCGUAAUCGGCGUCCAGAUCUAUAUAAGGUGCCCUCAUGAGCUCAUAUCUGAUCUUUUCAACUGAAAGUAUGUGUUAUGAUAGGUUUAAGAAUGGUUAUGGUACAGUGUUAUACCUCAGUGGAACAAGAUGUUGGGAAACAUGUUCUUUAGGGGUUCCUACAAUUGUUUAUGUUUGGUCAGGGCUACUUUCCAUUACUAUUGCUUUGCUUUGGAUUUCGAUUGAUCCUCCAACUGGGACUGGUGGGGGAGGAAAUAUUGAAAUACGAUUACAUUCGAAGUAUAUUCAUCAUGCAUACAUAUACCGAUUCGGAAGCCUAGAACAUUUCUUCUGAUUGACAUAAGGAUUUUGUUCAUGAAGUUGCUAUAAGUGUUUCUGUAUCAUAUAUAAGAAUGUUGAAAUGUGACAAGAAAUAGAAGUGAGAGAUGGAUUGUGUUUUUUUUUCAACUUUAUAGAUAGAUAGAUAUUUGCAAAACAGAGCAUGGUGGGAGGAUAAGAAAGUGAAGAAUGUACAGAGAAAUAAGAAGAGAGUUAUUUAACAUUAAUAUUGAUAUGUAGAAAUAUUUUGUAUAUUAAAUUAUUUAUAAAGUUUUAGAUUUUAUUAUAUACCUCCAUACUAUUCUUAUCAUACAGAAUUCAUAAAGAGAAAUUUCAAAACCU